UUAAUUGCAUUUUGCUUAUGUUUUCUCCCUUUCUCUCACUUAGUUUUUGAUUUUCCAGGGAGAUUAACCGACACCCAGUUUAAGCACCCUCAAACUUUCCUCAAGUUGAGAUGCACAUCUGGAUCCCAGCUCUACAGCUCGAGCCCAUUGCUGUUUGUUGCUGUUUGCGUUGCUGCAGGCCCCACUUAGGGAUUGUACAAAGUGUUCUUCUAAAAAAAAUAAAUACUGGAGUGUCCGUACAGCAUUAGAGGAGAAACGCAUUCCUUCUGUAACGUGCUGUUGCCUGAUCAUUACAGAAGCACAGAAAAGAAACUCGGUGGGGACAUAAGGCACUUGGGGCUUUAGAAGAAAAUGUUUUUGCAGUAUUAGGGGCUUGGAGUCAUCCUCAUUUCCAUGUAAGCCCCUGUACUAAGUAAAGGGAGAUCACCAGGCUUUUGAGAAUCAUUCAGAUGUCCUUAUAAGGGAACUUAAAGACCUCAUUUAGCACAAGGAUUCGAUGAGAUUCAGGCCAGCUGAGCCUGGCCUAUAGAGGCAGGGAUCUCUUCUCAAGCUGAUUUAUAAGUCCUAGCAGAGAAAGAGCUGUUGAGUGACCCCAUUGAUGAGACCUGAAGGUUGUGAAGAAGUUGCAGGCCUGCUGGAGAUGAUGGAGAGGCUGGUGCCAGUGGUACGCAGGAGCUGAAGUGACGGCAUAUCCCCGCAUCCACUGAUUGGUGAAUCUGACUCCACCAUGUCCUCAGCAAAAUACUGUCAGGGAGAAGAUGCAGCCAGGGACCACUGCAGAGAAUUAGGCUGAUCCUGCUGGAGCUGGAAAAUGGCUUUUCCAAAGAGUGCAGAGUCAAGUGGAGACAUGAUGGAUUUGCACGUCCAAUCUUCAGUAAAAAGGAAAGAAUAUGGAGCAAACUCUUUCUGAGCACAAGUUCUUCAAUUUCAAGGGCUUCCAACACCCAAAGUUACUUAUAUGGUGCUAUUCCCCUGAAAUCUGCAAAGGGAUGCUGUGUUCAACCAACUGCUGAAACCUGAGGUGCUAUGAGAACAGCUUUGAAUGGAGCUGGUAUGUCAGGAAGAUGCUGUAAAAAACCCAGUUCCUGUUUUCAUGUCAUGAAUCAACACUUCCACUGAAAUUUCUUUGCUAACUGAUUCAUUACUGUAUGUCAUUCUAACAGCAGUCAUCUGCUAUAUGCCUAUUUUCACAGUGUUAAACCGAAAGCCAGGCUUUACGGUUUAAAUAGAAUAUCUCUGUUUCUUGUGGAAAAGAUAGGAUGUGUGCUCUUUAGGACUUUACGUAUGACAAGGGUGAAUCAUCCAGAUGAUGAUGGAAACUUUCUUAGGCAACAUCAGUCCUCCUUUGCCCACUUUGUUUAUCUUCAGUGAUUCUGUGCAGUGAAUUUACUCUGA